rnacentral:rRNA from 1 species
AGGGGUAUAGUUCUUCGGAGCUAGAGACCGGCGCACGGGUGCGUAACGCGUAUGCAAUCUACCUUUUACAGAGGGAUAGCCCAGAGAAAUUUGGAUUAAUACCUCAUAGUAUGUGAGAAUCGCAUGGUUUUCACAUUAAAGUUCCAACGGUAAAAGAUGAGCAUGCGUCCCAUUAGCUAGAUGGUAAGGUAACGGCUUACCAUGGCGACGAUGGGUAGGGGUCCUGAGAGGGAGAUCCCCCACACUGGUACUGAGACACGGACCAGACUCCUACGGGAGGCAGCAGUGAGGAAUAUUGGACAAUGGGCGCAAGCCUGAUCCAGCCAUGCCGCGUGCAGGAUGACGGUCCUAUGGAUUGUAAACUGCUUUUGUACAGGAAGAAACACUCCCUCGUGAGGGAGCUUGACGGUACUGUAAGAAUAAGGAUCGGCUAACUCCGUGCCAGCAGCCGCGGUAAUACGGAGGAUCCAAGCGUUAUCCGGAAUCAUUGGGUUUAAAGGGUCCGUAGGCGGUUUAAUAAGUCAGUGGUGAAAGCCCAUCGCUCAACGGUGGAACGGCCAUUGAUACUGUUAAACUUGAAUUAUUAGGAAGUAACUAGAAUAUGUAGUGUAGCGGUGAAAUGCUUAGAGAUUACAUGGAAUACCAAUUGCGAAGGCAGGUUACUACUAAUGGAUUGACGCUGAUGGACGAAAGCGUGGGUAGCGAACAGGAUUAGAUACCCUGGUAGUCCACGCCGUAAACGAUGGAUACUAGCUGUUGGGCGCAAGUUCAGUGGCUAAGCGAAAGUGAUAAGUAUCCCACCUGGGGAGUACGU